rnacentral:lncRNA from 1 species
GAAGCUUUACCAUUGUGAUUUGAGUUGCUGUUUAAGUGCCCAAAAUUGCCACCUUUCUUACCAGUUCUUUAUUUCCAGAUUGGCCCACUGAGCCAAAUCCAAUUGAAGAAGAAUUAUAACGAGGCUGUGGCACACAACCAGAUUGUAACUAGGCAGUGGCACAUGAUGCUGGCCAAGGUGAAAAGAUGGAGUACGGGUGAUUAAGAGAGAGAUGGUGGGUAGAGGUUGGAG